AACGAACGCUGGCGGCAUGCCUAACACAUGCAAGUCGAACGAGACCUUCGGGUCUAGUGGCGCACGGGUGCGUAACGCGUGGGAACCUGCCCUUAGGUUCGGAAUAACUCCCCGAAAGGGGUGCUAAUACCGGAUAAUGUCUUCGGACCAAAGAUUUAUCGCCUUUGGAUGGGCCCGCGUUGGAUUAGCUAGUUGGUAGGGGAAAAGCCUACCAAGGCGACGAUCCAUAGCUGGUCUGAGAGGAUGAGCAGCCACACUGGGACUGAGACACGGCCCAGACUCCUACGGGAGGCAGCAGUGGGGAAUAUUGGACAAUGGGCGAAAGCCUGAUCCAGCAAGGCCGCGUGAGUGAUGAAGGCCUUAGGGUUGUAAAGCUCUUUUACCCGGGAUGAUAAUGACAGUACCGGGAGAAUAAGCACCGGCUAACUCCGUG
rnacentral:rRNA from 1 species